rnacentral:rRNA from 1 species
AACGAACGCUGGCGGCAGGCUUAACACAUGCAAGUCGAACGCGCCCUUCGGGGCGAGUGGCAGACGGGUGAGUAACGCGUGGGAACCUACCUUUUGGUACGGAAUAACUCAGGGAAACUUGAGCUAAUACCGUAUGUGCCCUUCGGGGGAAAGAUUUAUCGCCAAAGGAUGGGCCCGCGUCGGAUUAGCUAGUUGGUGGGGGAAUGGCCUACCAAGGCGACGAUCCGUAGCUGGUCUGAGAGGAUGAUCAGCCACACUGGGACUGAGACACGGCCCAGACUCCUACGGGAGGCAGCAGUGGGGAAUAUUGGACAAUGGGGGCAACCCUGAUCCAGCCAUGCCGCGUGAGUGAUGAAGGCCUUAGGGUUGUAAAGCUCUUUCGCCGGUGAAGAUAAUGACGGUAACCGGAGAAGAAGCCCCGGCUAACUUCGUGCCAGCCGCCGCGGUAAAAC